CCGGAGGUGGCGCCUGCGGAACCCCGCGGCCAGCCGGGUUAGGACUGGACACUGAACGCCGGUCCGGGACUCCCUCCCAGUCCCGGAGCGGCGAUCGGUCUCCUUCCCGGGCGCGUGGGGUUUCCACGUGGGAGAGACAGAAAGCAGCGGCAGUCCCUGUGGAUCGGAGCCCAUCGGCGCGGUCCGCUCUCCUCCCCAUUCCCCAGAUCGAGAAACUGAGACCCAGAGAGGAACCGGCCCUAGCCCGGGACCCACCGCGAGCCCCACCCCGCGCCUCACCUGCCGGCGGUCGCAGCGCGCCGUGGUUUCCUGGAGUUGAGCGGCAAACAAAGGCCUCCAAUCCCGGUGCGGGGCGGGGCGGCGACUUUUUGCUUAAUCCCCGAGGCGGGCCUGUGACGGGCGGGGAGGGCCCAGGGAGGCGGGGCCUCGAGAAGCUCCACCAAUCGCAGAGAGGCGGCCGCCUGCGGCCCGCCCCCAGGCAUUCGGCCUGGGCUCCAGCCCUGAAAAGUUCACAUCUGGCAGGUUCGUGUCCCUCCUGGAACCCGCCCGAGUGCCGACCGGAGUCUGAGGGGCCCAGAGCGGAGACAUUUGUGCAAGCUCGCACAGAGCCACAGUGAGAAAGAAACCACAAACUUUCAUAGCUGAAGCGGACUGCUUCAUGACAGUAUAAUAUUAGUAAUAACGAACUUUUCUUGAGCACUUAUCUGUCAAUAACUGUUGGGAGCUCUUCCUGUGCUCCGUCCUCUCCUGUGAGGUAGAGUACAAACUUGGGGCAGUGGGCAGCAGCUGCCAGGCGCCCUCUUGUCUCCUGGAGUUAGACCGAGCGGAGAGAUGGACGGUUCAAGGCACCGGAGGUGGUCAGUGACUGGCCUGAAAUUCACCAUGGGCUGGUGAUAGACAGAUGCACAAGGUUCAGAACAAGAUGCACGAGGACUAGAGACUGCAAAAGUUGUGGCAUUCCUAAGGCCGGAGGACCCUUCGUUUGCCAUGAGCGUCAUCCGGAUUGCAGUCAUCACCCUGGGGCUGACCCUGAGCCUGGUUCAGGGGCCCACACACAGCAUCCCAACCUCCAUCACGGGCAAGUCGCAGUAUCCCCACUGCGUUUGUUUCCUGUAGUUGUUGUAACGAAUUGUCACCAGUUCAUGGCUUAAGGCAGCCCUAAUUUGUUCUCUUACAAAGAGAGGUUAGAAGUCCAUGGUCAGUCUCAAGGGGCUGAUGUCAAGGAGUUGGUUUCCUUCUGCCUGCUCUGAGGGGAGAAUCUCUUUCCCUGAUUUUUCCAGUGUUUAGUGGCCACCUGUAUUCCUGGCUGGUGGUCCCUCCCUCCAUCUCCAGAGCACAUCACGACCUCUGCUGCCCUCAGCACAGCACUGUUCCCUCCUCCGUGUCACGUCCCCCUCUGCCUCCCUCUUUCAAGGACCUUUGGGAUUAGAUUGGGCCCCGCCCAGAAAAUCCAGCAUAACCUCCCCAUCUAAAUGCCUUAACCCCAUAUGCCAAGUCCCUUUGCCAUGUAAGGUAAUGUUCACACUUUCCAGGAACCUGGAUAUCUUUGGGGCCAUUAUUCAGCCUGCCACACCCAUUUUCCAGAUGGGGAAUUUGGGCCUAGAAAGGUGAGAUCACUUACCUAUGACCAGGCAGGAUUUGGCAUCUGAUGCCUGGAGAGCUGGGGCCUGACAGCCAGGUGGGAGUUAUUCCCUGCAGGGUUAUUAGGACUGGGGAGGGGCCUAAAGAGUCCCCCAGGAGGGGCUGGGGCUUCAGGGAUACUGGCUGCCUUAGAGGUCAAGUGGAAUCCAGGCCUCUGGCCUCAGGUGGUUUCCUUGAGCUGGGGAGGUGAUGGGGGCAGAUGAAAGCAAGAUCUGGUGCAGGUCUGUGGACUCAACUGCCCCUAACCCAUCUCUAGCUGACCUCUGGACACAGAGCUGGGCAAAGCAGGACUUCUCAAACUCUUCUUAUCCCAGAGAAACCCUGGGGUUGAAGGAAAUGGGCCCCAGGGGUGUAGCAGACCAUUUUAUGCCCCCCUCCCUUCCCCGCCCUUCACCAAGUGUUUUUGCUUCUAACACCCCCAUGCCCCAACCCCACCCCCCAACCCUGGCCCUGCCCUUGGCUCCUGGAACAGCGUGGCCUGUACAGGUAAAGAAUGGGAUUGUGGUCGGGAAUUUACUGCCUCUAACCCUUCCCCUCCCCGGACCUUGUGCAAAGACUGACAGCAUGAAGGCCCUGUCACCUUGCCCUGAGUGGGGACAGUUCUGGACCCACCUUCUACUCUAGAGUCCCCUGUGGGAUCACGCUGCAGCCACCCUCCCAGCUUCACCUCAAAUCCCACCCUGCUCAGCUUUCUCCUUUUCCCCCUCCUGACUUGUCCACUCCCUUACUGGUCUGCCGUGGCAGCCUUUCCUUAAUGAAUCACUUGCAUAUAAAUCCUCAUCAGAGUCGGCUUCUGGCACCCUCCCUGAGACAGGCCCCUCUCUGUGUGUUAAAGCAUCCAUGCACAUUGUGCAUUCUGCCCCAUAACAUACCUGUGCAUUUUAAUUUAAAGGUAUUUUCUGUGAACAGCCUUCAGGUAACGUGCUCCAAGAUGUGGGUGUGGCUCAGAUGCCCCUGCACCCCCACGUGUGUCCCACAUUGAGCCGUGGGGGGCAGAGGGAGAGGCUGGCGGUGUCUUGUUCUGGGUGUCUCCAUCUGUCCUCCAUCUGUCCAUUAGAACCCCAGCCACAAAGGCAGGCCACAUAGCACACCGGACCCUAACCUUGUUCAGAUUUCUUUAUUGAAAAAUUAAAGUCAUAAGCUCUGUAUAUAAA